UAUUUCCACGUCAAAUAGAUUGCCCAAGGUGCAAAUCUAUUUAAAACAGUUCUUGAGUGUUAACAUUUAAAUGUUGUUAUUUUUGUUCCGAGGACAGCGUACUUCCGCUGAAGAAAUCUGGGCCUUGGCUGGGAAGGAACAAAGAUGUGAGAGCCACAGGACAGAGCGUGCAUCAUCUUGAUGGUGAAAGGCUAUGGCCGGCUGAUACUGAUUCUUGUAAGGAUUCCGGAUGGAACUUAGCAACUAUGCCAGUAUUUGCUUUCCCGAUUGUUUCUUAAGCAGGUCUUUAUGCCAUCAGCAAUGCAAAGACCUCAUUAUGCAUUAACUCCUUUAGUCAUACAGAGCCCCCUCACCCCUGAAACAGACAUCAUAGGGCCCCAUACUUAGUUACUUCUCUCACCAACGUGCUUACAAACCCAGCUAACGCAACCUGAGGGAGGAAAGGUUUCUUCUGGCUCAUGUUUGGGGAAUGGUGGCUGACUCAUCUGAAGAAAGUUCUCCUGGCGUCCCCUGUUACUGUGGCUACCACUUGUCUGUCUCUCUACCUGGCUGGUUCAGCGCAAGCCAGGCGAUUGUCUAUACUACCUGCUACCUGCACAGAGGCUGGCACGCAACAGUUAAUUGCUAAGUUAGUUGACAGAAAGACAGGACCAAUGAAUGUGUAGAAGGAAGACGCUGCCUUAAAGUCACCAGCACCCGCUCACCUCCUAAAAUGGCCCCGAAUGAAACUGAAGGACAUAACUUGAAGCUUUUAUCCUUGUGACAGCUCACCUCAAGGAGCUGCUUCGGGGCUAUCAAAUACUUAUGGUUUGAGGCAUGUUUUGUAAUCUCUUUUAUUCAUAGUUUGAAGAAUGUUAAUAAAGAUAAUUAAAGCCAGCACCAUCCACCGCGGGAGUCAAAAGCUGCUCUGCGACUCUUCUUGACCCGCUGCGUUAUUAAUUUAAAAGUAAGAGCUAGCUGGAGAACUUGGUUGCUUUUGCAAAUGUUCAGAAGCCGGGGCAAUGAGGCUUUCUCAAAACAGUUGUAGGAGAAAAUGGCACCGGAAACGUUAGCUGUGGCUGGAGGAACUUUCCCCUCGCAAAGAAAGGCUUAGGGCCUUUUGUUGGUAAAUGGCAGGUGGGUUGUACAAUUCCAGGGUAAUUUCAGAAAGCCAUCUUCUGAACGUAAUAAACACAUCUGCAAUAAUAGGAUUCAGAAAAUAGCAAAAUGCAUUCCAGACGCCCUUUGAUUGUGCAUAUAGAACAGAGAAUUUAGCUAUAAUUGGCUAUAACACAGUUAUGGACAGCAAAUGACACACCGUGGAGUUGGGCGAUGUGCAGUUCUGAUUAGAGAUGGUGUGUUUCAGACAAACGCCACCAACAGAACAGCGGCAGGUACAUGGUGACACAGCACCCCCCCCCCCAGCCUCCCUCCCUUUCUCCCUCCCUUCCUGUUUAAUGAAAUCAUAAAUUAGACCAGAAAACUUAUUCUAUUAUUUUUCAACUGAUCAAUUGACAGCCAAUACACCAUUUUCUUCAGAGGCUACGACUGUGUGAGAGAGGGAAGUGGGAGCCCACGGAGAAUUGACUUUUGGAGAACUAGAUGUAAUUUGAAUCAAGAAUUAUAAUGGGAAAUAAACCAUUACAAUAAACAAGGAAACAUGUACACAAUUACUUUCAUGCUGUAAUUUUAUUCACUCUAGUUGGGAAAAUAAAGAGAUAAUACUGACCGUAGCACCUGGGUAUUUAAUGCAAACUGUAAAAUCUAUUAUAUUAAACAAAGUCAAAAGCAAUGUGAAAGAUCUUGAAUCUAUUCAAGGCAUGCACCUCAUUACAGACUUAGCAAAUUAAAACACAAAUAGGAUUAGAAAAGAAUAAUGUAACAAUCUCCCACCAGGUCCCUAGAGCAUUAAGUCAUAAAUUGGGUUUGCAUUAAAUUGUGCCUGCAGUAUUGAAUUCAGGGAAAGAGCUGUGGGCUGGAGAUAAACCAUGCCGGGCUACUCACCAACUUUGGCAAAGCUAUGUGUUUUCUGAGACGUGCAGUAAAUUUGUUAGACUAAAACAGCUCCAAAGAAAGAAAUCAAGCACUUCAUAUCUCAAUUUAAAA